GGGAAAAAAAAUAAAAUAUGACUCACUUUCUCACAGCUCCAUGUAAGACCUGUUGAACUACUUUUUAUGUAGAAAUUCUUGUAAAACAAAAAAAGAAAGAAGAAAAAUGCAGCCUUUUUGAUGGGUUUCAACACAGUGAACUACCCAGGUUAACAACCCCGUUGGCCCCACCCCCACUCCGCAAACACUCCCAGGGGAGAACUGUCAUAGCACUCAUCCAGCAAGUUUGCCCUUAUUAUAAUUUCAAGCUAAUAUUUCUUCCUUUUAAACACCACAAAAACUUUUAUUCUGCCAGCAGGUGGCAGUAGCGUUAGCAGUCUCCAAACUGAUCAAAUUUUCUGUUAUACUCCCACGUUUUAAAGACUUUCAAUGAGGUCCCAGAGAUGAUUACUGGGUUACUCAAAGUACUGCCCAUCCCAAACCUGUUUCUGGAAGGAAGCCCGGUACGUUGUUUUUAAUAUGCUUUUAAGAAAGGUGAAUUCAGUUGGUUGUAAAAUCUCUCCAGUUUUAAACUUGGGAGCAACUUCAAACUUGUGUUCACGAUUCCUUUCUUUUAAAUCAGCAUGAGUUCUUUGGAUUACAUGAUGUAUUUACUGCAUAUCAUCAUUUUUCUUAAACAUUGGCCUAAGUGAUAUCUCCCACCCCCCCCUCCCAAAAUAAAAUGACUUUCUUGCCUAAAUUGUCUUCUGGCAAAAAUGUACUUUGGCCAUUAUUUUAGUAAGGUGAUUAUAUUCAGGGUGUUCGUUCAUUGAUUUGUGUUAUUUUCCCAGUUUUCCUUUAAUUGCACUUUAAUGUUUAAAAUAGCACAUUUGAACCUCAAAUUUAAUCUCUAACAUAUAUGCAUUGGCAUAUGUGCUAUUUUGAAAAGUACCAAUCCAUCCAGCACCAAGACUGGGACAAAAAUCUUCAUAUCUGUCCCUGGAUGGAUUUGCAAACUUUGAUCUGACUUUCUGUGAGACUACUGGAGCAAUAACCUCUUCCUCUCUGCGUGACAUUUCAGUCCAUGUUUAUAUAUUUGCUUAAACAAAACAUUUAACUCAAGUGUUAAAUGAGAGAGGCUCGCAGAGCAUCAUCAUCUGGGCUCCCCCAGUUUGUUUGAAGGCAUAGUAAUCUUUUUUUUUCCUGUAAACUUCUGACUUUGAAGAAAGUAAUUAAAUAGUAAAAAAAAAAAGUUCCAUCUCUCAAUAUUCUGAUAUAUCAAAUUGUGAUAAUGUUGGUAAUUUUACCUGACCUAAAUCAGAUAAAGUUUACUAAUAUCAGACAGAGAGAAAACAAAAUGUUAUGUUUCUUAUUACAGUGUAUGCAAAUAUCUGGAUUCCUCCACAGAUGUACAUAGCAUGACUUUAACUGUAAUAAUUAUUGCCAUAUUUCAUAUUACCAGCAGAAGGAAUAAUCGAUGCUUUUCUGUUUGAAACACAAGCGAUUGGUGUUUGGUAUUGAUAUUUCUUACCAUCGUGAAACCCGGCCGUUAUUACUGAAGGUAACACUUUGAGAAUUUCAAACUAGCCUUUGCCUAAUAUAAAAUUAGAGGAAAAAAUGUCAAGAAAAGUAAGAGAGCGUGUUUGUGGUGCCGCUCGGAGCCCAGUGGAGUGAAGGAAACGGGUAAUGAGGUGAUAGAGAAGUGACACAGCAAAGAUCAGCAGGGAAGGUCAACGCUAAAGUUUAAAACAACAACCGCACCAGCGGUGGAGACGCCGCGCGCUGCUCCGUCUCACUUUGCUCAUUCGCUUGGAGAUUAUUUUUCUGUUUUCUUAACCUGGCCUUCCUUUAAUGGCUGCUCUGGCUGCCUCUAAUGAUUUUAAUGACAGACUGAUCGGACGUCACUUCAAAAAAGUAGAUCAAAAUGACGGCCUUUACAUAAAUCUUAUUAGCUGUAAAUAGUUAAAUACAAUCAGAACUUAAGUUUGAGGUGGAGUAAAGUAUUGAAGAUGUCUUUAUUGGAUCACUGAGUCUUUAAACACACACACACACACACACAAAAAGCAACAGACUGAAAAAAAUUAGGAAGUUCCAGGGUUUUUUUUUUUUUUUCAUUUCAGAUUCAACAAUCUGAGAACAGACACUCUUUUUAAGAUUUAUUUUCAAUCCACUUGCUGCAAAGAAAGCAGGGAAGGCUUCUGUUAGAAGGGUUGUGUUUAACGUCAGUCAAACUGUCCACAUGCAGCUCAGCGUGCGGCUUAACCUGUCACCCUCUCUGCUCCUAGUUACACCCAGUGGGGAACAUUUGAAGAAACCACAAAAUUACAAUGUAAACUGUGUGGAUUUCUCUAGAAUUUCAUGUAGGGCUAACAGGCAGACAGGAAACCAGAUGAAUGCUAGCUGCAUCGCUACCGGACAGAUAAAGGUAGCAGCAGAUUUUAUCAGACUGUGGUCAAGAACCAAUUCCACAGAUCCAAACAUGUUCAUAUAUUUUGAACCUCAAAUUUAAUCCUAACAGAUAUAAAUUAGAUUGUACUUUAUUCUGAUUUUGCUUUUGCUCCAGAGGUCAAAAAUAUUGGACCUUACUUCUUUGCAAAAUAGCUCAAGCUCAGUCAGAUUGGGAGGAAAGUGUCUGUGUGCAUCGAUUUCCAUGUCUUUGCACAGACUCUCAGUUAAAGCUGCACAAUAUAUUGUGAGUAUCGCGGUAUCAGUGUCUGCAAUACGCACAUCACAAAGGACUACUUGGAGUGCGAUGCUAUUUUUAAUAGUUCUUAAGUACGACGCAGAUGACAUUGCUAAAAAUGCUGAAGGUCACAUAAAGUAGGCAGCAAAAAUUAGAAAGAGACGAAAGCAUAAAACAGGCGUGUUUCACACCUGAUAUCGCCAUGGCAACAAUAUUUACCAAUAUUAUCGCCUUUGCGAUUUUUUUUUCCUGAUGUCCUGCAGCCCUACUCUCUACUGGAUUUAGGUCUGGGCUUUGACUGGACCAGAGGUGGGUGACAUGGAUUUUAGUGUGACAUUUUGUGGUACUAUUGUGAUCAUGAUAAAGAUUAUGAUAAAAUCCUUUAUUACUUGUUUUUUAAGUAACAGUUUGGCUGUUACUUAAGAAGAAAUCAAAAAUAACAUUUACGAUCAUGAUGUCUGUUUUAGUUUUCAUCUUAUUUACCAUCAACAACUGAAAUUUGUCAGGACGACAACAAAUCAGCAAUUAUUAUUAUAAAUUCUUCACGGUAAAUGACAAAAUGUAUAAAAUCUUUUUCAGUCAGUUCUCCCACCUGAGCUUUACGUCUCUGCAGCUCCACCAGAGUCACCACUGACCUUUGGCCUGCUCUCCUGAUGAAAGCGCUCCCUGCCCAGCUUGUCCCAUCAGGUGAACGUUUUGCAGCUGUACCGUUCUCUUGCUCUUUUCGAGCUUUUCUGCCUGACCUGUCUGCUUUGUGACGCCAUUUGAACCGUCAGAACAGCUCCAUUUAUGCAGAGAUUAAAUCACACAAAGGAGGAGCACCCUGUUUACUGCUGAGGAGACUCCUAAAGGCGACCGGCUACACUGGGUUUUAUUUAGGGGUAGCACCGCAAAGGGAGGUGAAUACUAAUCUCAACAGAAUACCUUAAUCUUUGUGGUUGUAAUUUGAAGUGGGAACACGAAGAGGUUAAAGGGGAAAAUUUUGCGAGCUACCGUAAGACUGCAGGUGAGGUCACGACAACAAAUUUUGCUGGACGAUAAAUUGUCCUGGACGUUAUUGCGAUAAACGAUAAAUAUUGUUUUGAGACGAGAAAUUAUAUAUUAAUGCAAGAACACAUUGUUAAAGAUCAAUAAACGUUAAAUUCUAGUGAACAUUGAAGACUUGAACUGGAAGACAUUUUAAAUAUCCAAAAUAAAUAAA